rnacentral:rRNA from 1 species
UACAGAGGGUGCAAGCGUUGUUCGGAAUUACUGGGUGUAAAGCGCGUGUAGGCGGCAGACCAAGUCGGCGGUGAAAGCGCCCGGCUCAACUGGGCGAGGUCCGUGGAAACUGGUCAGCUGGAGGACGGUAGAGGCGAGUGGAAUUCCCGGUGUAGUGGUGAAAUGCGUAGAGAUCGGGAGGAAGGCCGGUGGCGAAGGCGGCGCUCUGGAACAUUUCUGACGCUGAGGCUCGAAAGCGUGGGGAGCAAACAGG